GAUGAACGCUGGCGGCGUGCCUAAUACAUGCAAGUCGAGCGAACAGACGAGGAGCUUGCUCCUUUGACGUUAGCGGCGGACGGGUGAGUAACACGUGGGUAACCUACCUAUAAGACUGGGAUAACUUCGGGAAACCGGAGCUAAUACCGGAUAAUAUUUCGAACCGCAUGGUUCGAUAGUGAAAGAUGGCUUUGCUAUCACUUAUAGAUGGACCUGCGCCGUAUUAGCUAGUUGGUAAGGUAACGGCUUACCAAGGCAACGAUACGUAGCCGACCUGAGAGGGUGAUCGACCACACUGGAACUGGGACGCGGUGCAGACUCCUACGGGAGGCAGCAGUAGGGAGUCUUCCGCAAUGGGCGAAAGCCUGACGGAGCAACGCCGCGUGAGUGAUGAAGGUCUUCGGAUCAUAAAACUCUGUUAUUAGGGAAGAACAAACGUGUAAGUAACUGUGCACGUCUUGACGGUACCUAAUCAGAAAGCCACGGCUAACUACGUG
rnacentral:rRNA from 1 species